GGAAAGAUGGCUCUGUGGGUAAGAGCACUUGCUAUGCAAGCAUGAGGGCCUGAGUUCAAAUCCCAAGCUGGCCG
rnacentral:tRNA from 1 species